UGGAAGUAAAAGUCGUAACAAGGUCUCCGUUGGUGAACCAGCGGAGGGAUCAUUAAAGAGUUCUAUAACUCCUAAACCCAUGUGAACAUACCUUACGUUGCCUCGGCAGGUCGCGUCUACCCCGUAGCACCCUACCCUGUAGGGCCUACCCGGAAGACGCGGGCAAGCCUGCCGGCGGCCCACGAAAUUCUGUUUAUCUUUGAAUUCUGAGCCUAUAACUAAAUAAGUUAAAACUUUCAACAACGGAUCUCUUGGUUCUGGCAUCGAUGAAGAACGCAGCGAAAUGCGAUAAGUAAUGUGAAUUGCAGAAUUCAGUGAAUCAUCGAAUCUUUGAACGCACAUUGCGCCCAUUAGUAUUCUAGUGGGCAUGCCUGUUCGAGCGUCAUUUCAACCCUUAAGCCUCUGUUGCUUAGUGUUAGGAGCCUACGGUCCCCGUAGCUCCCCAAAGUUAGUGGCGGAGUCGGUUCACACUCUAGACGUAGUAAUUUUUUUUCUCGCCUAUCAGUUAGACCGGUCCCCUGCCGUAAAACCCCCCUAAUCUUUCAAGGUUGACCUCGGAUCAGGUAGGAAUACCCGCUGAACUUAAGCAUAUCAAUAAGCGGAGGAACAAAAGAAACCAACAGGGAUUGCCCUAGUAACGGCGAGUGAAGCGGCAACAGCUCAAAUUUGAAAUCUGGCCCUCGGGUCCGAGUUGUAAUUUGCAGAGGAUGCUUUUGGCGCGGUGCCUUCCGAGUUCCCUGGAACGGGACGCCUUAGAGGGUGAGAGCCCCGUACGGUUGGACACCAAGCCUCUGUAAAGCUCCUUCGACGAGUCGAGUAGUUUGGGAAUGCUGCUCUAAAUGGGAGGUAAAUUUCUUCUAAAGCUAAAUAUUGGCCAGAGACCGAUAGCGCACAAGUAGAGUGAUCGAAAGAUGAAAAGCACUUUGAAAAGAGGGUUAAAUAGCACGUGAAAUUGUUGAAAGGGAAGCGUUUGCGACCAGACCUUUUCCCAGCGGAUCAUCCGGUGUUCUCACCGGUGCACUUCGCUGGGUUGAGGCCAGCAUCGGUUUCUGUAGGGGGAUAAAAGCCCUGGGAACGUAGCUCCUCCGGGAGUGUUAUAGCCCUCUGCAUAAUACCCUUACGGGGACCGAGGACCGCGCUUCGGCAAGGAUGCUGGCGUAAUGGUCGUCAACGACCCGUCUU
rnacentral:rRNA from 1 species